UGUGGGAGCGGGCUUGCUCGCGAUGCAGGCUGCGCGGUUUUACGGUUAAGCCGCGUUGAUGCCAUCGCGAGCAAGCCCGCUCCCACA
rnacentral:antisense_RNA from 1 species